UACGAAGGGGGCUAGCGUUGUUCGGAUUUACUGGGCGUAAAGCGCACGUAGGCGGCUUUUUAAGUCAGGGGUGAAAUCCUGGAGCUCAACUCCAGAACUGCCUUUGAUACUGAGAAGCUUGAGUCCGGGAGAGGUGAGUGGAACUGCGAGUGUAGAGGUGAAAUUCGUAGAUAUUCGCAAGAACACCAGUGGCGAAGGCGGCUCACUGGCCCGGUACUGACGCUGAGGUGCGAAAGCGUGGGGAGCAAACAGGG
rnacentral:rRNA from 1 species